GCCCCACUUUAUUCUCAUUUCUAUUUAAGCUUGAGGGGUAUCUUGGUAAUCACAUUGGCUCCUCCUUUCCUUAGUUCACGCAUCUCUCUCCCAUUUUUCCCCACUUGUUGACUUUUCUCACUUAAGGAUAGGGCCCACACUUGUUUCCUUUCUUUUUGGUUUCACAUGGCUCACUCUUCUUACACGUGAUUCCCAUCAAUAAACAAAGACAAACAAAAACAAGCAGCACCCUCUCUUCUUUCUUUCCUUCUCCUCUCUUCCCCUUCGUCCCCCACACAGCAGCUCGCCUCUUCUCUUUCCUUUCCCUUUCUUCUUCCUCUUCUCUCACUCGCACUCACGCACACAUAGCAACCCAUGAGAGAGCCCGAAGUGCAAAAAUGCCGAGAGAGAGAACAGAUCGUGAGAGAGAGAUUUUGAAAUGGAAGCUGUCCAGCCAUGGGUAGAAGAAGAAAAGAUGGGGUUUUUGGCCAUGGACGUCCGGUGAGGCUUGUUUCGUGAUUGGAGACGUAGACCUGUUCUCCAAUGUAGAGUUCGAGUUGGAGUCCAAUGCAGUCAAGAUGAUGUUUCUUUGGCUGCAGGUACUUCGGUAUAGUCGAUGGGUCGGUAGCAGUGUGCUUGGGAUAUUAUGACUGAAGCUUGCUGCGACAGUUGUAAUUGUCGGACCACGGGUUGUCCACUAUUUUAUAGGUUUGGUAUGGCUUGUGACGUUUGUGUCACUUAUUCUUUGUUAAGCCAUUAUUGUUAUAGUGUUAAUAAGACUCAAACAGAUAGAUGUUAAAUGGCUCUUUGUUGUAAUUAAUUUGUGAUAGAUGUAUAAGUUGUAAUUUCCGCUA